rnacentral:rRNA from 1 species
UGGGCAAUGGGCGCAAGCCUGACCAGCAACGCCGCGUGAAGGAAGAAGGCUUUCGGGUUGUAAACUUCUUUUAUUAGGGACGAUAAUGACGGUACCUAUUGAAUAAGCUCCGGCUAACUACGUGCCAGCAGCCGCGGUAAUACGUAGGGAGCAAGCGUUAUCCGGAUUUACUGGGUGUAAAGGGCGUGUAGGCGGGACUGCAAGUCAGAUGUGAAAACUAUGGGCUCAACUCAUAGCCUGCAUUUGAAACUGUAGUUCUUGAGUGCUGGAGAGGCAAAUGGAACUCCUAGUGUAGCGGUGAAAUGCGUAGAUAUUAGGAAGAACACCAGUGGCGAAGGCGAUUUGCUGGACAGUAACUGACGCUGAGGCGCGAAAGUGUGGGGAGCAAACAGGAUUAGAUACCCUGGUAGUCCACACCGUAAACGAUGGAUACUAGGUGUGGGGGGUCUAACCCCCUCCGUGCCGCAGUUAACACAUUAAGUAUCCCACCUGGGGAGUACGAUCGCAAGGUUGAAACUCAAAGGAAUUGACGGGGGCCCGCACAAGCGGUGGAGCAUGUGGUUUAAUUCGAAGCAACGCGAAGAACCUUACCUGCUCCUUGACAUCUCCCUGAACCGGCAAGUAAUGUUGCCUUCCUUCGGGCNAGGGAUGACAGGUGGUGCAUGGUUGUCGUCAGCUC